AUGCUCUUCCUCCUGACUGCUUUGUGCAUGCCGCAUCUCCUGCUGGAUGUUCUCUGCCCACUGCUUGCACCCCUUAUGCCAAUUCCGGACCCGCAGCUUCUUGGAUCACACCUCUCAUUCAAACCACCUAGUCCUUCUGCAGAGUCAAAGCCUGCGUUUCUACAAGGAGGUGGUAAGAAACAGAGUAAAAUUAGGUAUGAGCUGAUAUACCCGGGCAAAGAAAACCAAAAGCACAAAUAAAAGAGAGAGAUCAUCUAACCAAAUAUUGAUUCCAAGGUUGAACAGUAUUAUACUUUUCACUUCUCCUUAAUAAUUUUAUUUUGGUCAUUUUGGUGUAAACCCAGCACCAAGCACCUCACUGUGGAAAGGAGGAGUACAGUUUGUAACAAAACGGCAUGGCUGUCAGCCAGUAAAACAUAUCAUGGAAUCUUAGGGAAUGUAAAGGGCUCAGGUGAAAUAUUCCAACCCAUACUGAAUCUCCAUGCUGGUAGAGAUUAAGCAGUGGCCUAACCAGUCUGUUCACUGUGUCUCCAUUUCUCCUCACCUGGUCCACAGAGCACUCUCCUAAUCAGUUAUAGUGUCUCCAUACAUUUCAGAAUUCAUGGAACCACAGAAUGUGGCCUUAUUUGGAAAUAGGGUUGCUACAAAUGUAGUCAAGGUAAGGACUGAGAUGAGAUAAUCCUGGGUUAGGAUGGGCCCUAAAUCCAAUCAGAAUUUCCCGUAGGAGACAGAAAAGGUUACAGACUGUGAAGAAGGCUAUGGGCAGACAGAGGCAGAGAUUGAUGAUGGUGCCACCAGCCGAGGAACACCAGGAGCCAUGAGAAGCUGGAAUAAGCAAAAACACUUUCCUAAUUCCCAGUGAUUUCCUUGGUCCCAUAAUCCCCUUCCUCACUCCCAGUUUACGUUAAUAUGAGAUCAGAGUUUCUAUUGCAGGAAGGAUUUAGCCAUUUGGUUGGAAGGGGAACUUUGGGUGCUUGUUUGAAACUAUGCAGACGUACUGUUUGUACUGUGGUGUCAGAGGCAGGCGAGAGGAUAGGGAGCUCUAGUCACUACUACUCCAAGCACUCCACAGCCUUGCCACAGGGGGUGCUAUUUUUCAGAGUAAAUAAUGGGUGGGAUUUUUCAGGGUAAUUAGCCCUUUACACAAAAAAGACAGUACCUCAUUACCUAUUUCUUCUCACUGUCUCUUUUUUUAAAUUAUACUUUAAGUUCUGGGAUACAUGUACAGAAUGUGCAGGUGUGUUACAAAGGUAUACAUGUGCCAUGGUGGUUUGCUGUAGCCAUCAACAUGUAAUCUACAUUAGGUAUUUCUCCUAAUACUAUGCCUCCCCUAGCCCCCCACACCCCGACAGGCCCCAGUGUGUGAUGUUCCCCUCCCUUUGUUCAAGUGAUCUCAUUGUUCAACUCCCACUUACAGUGAGAACAUGCAGUGUUUGGUUUUCUGUUCCUGUGUUAGUUAGUUACUGAGACUGAUGGUUUCCAGCUUCAUCCAUGUCCCUGCAAAGGACAUGAACCCAUCCUUUUUAUGGCUGCAUAGUAUUCCAUGGCAUAUAUGUGCCACAUUUUCUUUAUCCAGUCUAUCAUUGAUGGGCAUUUGGGUUGGUUCCAAGUCUUUGCUAUUGUGAACAGUGCCACAAUAAACAUACGUGUGCAUGUGUCUUUAUAGUAGAAUUAUUUAUAAUCCAUUGGGUAUAUACCUAGUAAUGAGACUGCUUGGUGAAAUGGUAUUUCUGGUUCUAGAUCCUUGAGGAAUCACCACACUGUCUUCCACAGUGGUUGAACUAAUUUACACUCUACCAACAAUGUAAAAGCAUUCCGAUUUCUCCACAUCCUCUCCAGCAUCUAUUGUUUCUUGACUUUUUAAUGACUGCCAUUCUAACUGAUGUGAGAUGGUAUCUCACUGUGGUUUUGAUUUGCAUUUCUCUAAUGACCAGUGAUGAUGAGCAUUUUUUCAUAUGUUUGUUGGCUGCAUAAAUGUCUUCUUUUGAGAAGUGUCUGUUCAUAUCCUUUUCUAAAUAUACAGUCAUGUCAUCUGCAAACAGAGACAAUUUGACUUCCUCUUUUCCUAAUUGAAUACCCUUUAUUUCUUUCUCUUGCCUAAUUGCCCUGGCCAGAACUUCCAAUACUAUGUUGAAUAGGAGUGGUGAGAGAGGGCAUGCUUGUCUUGUGCCAGUUUUCAAAGGGAAUGCUUGCAACUUUUGCCCAUUCUGUAUUAUAUUGGCUGUGGGUUUGUCAUAAAUAGCUCUUAUUAUUUUGAGAUAUGUUCUAUCAAUACCUAGUUUUCUUGAGAGUUUUUAGCAUGAAGCACUGUUAAAUUUUAUCAAAGACCUUUUGUGCAUCUAUUAAGAUAUUCAAGUGGUUUUUGUCAUUGGUUCUGUUUAAGUGAUAUAUUGCAUUUAUUGAUUUGCAUAUGUUGAACCAGCUUGCAUCCCAGGGAUGAAGCCAACUUGGUCGUGGUGGAUAAGCUUUUUGAUGCGCUACUGGAUUCAGUUUGCCAGUAUUUUAUUGAGGAUAUUGGUCUGAAAUUUUCUUUUUUUGUUGUGUCUCUGCCAGGUUUUGGUAUCAGGAUGAUGCUGGCCUCAUAAAAUCAGUUAAGGAGGAUUCCCUCUUUUUCUAUUGUUUGGAAUAGUUUUAGAAGGAAUGGUACCAGGUCCUCUUUGUAUCUCUGGUAGAAUUCGGCUGUGAAUUCAUCUGGUCCUGGACUUUUUUGGUUGGUAGGCUAUUAAUAGUUGCCUCAACUUCAGAACUUGUUAUUGGUCUAUUCAGGGAUUCAACUUAUUCCUGAUUUGGUCUUGGGAGGGUAUAUGUGUCCAGGAACUUAUCCAUUUCUUCUAGAGUUUUUAAUUUAUUUGCAUAGAGGUCUUUAUAGUACUCUCUGAUGGUAGUUUCUAUUUCUGUGGGACUGGUGGUGGUAUCCCCUUUAUCAUUUUUUAUUGCAUCUAUUUGAUUCUUCUCUCUUUUCUUCUUUAUUAGUCUUGCUAGUGGUCUAUCAAUUUUGUUGAUCUUUUCAAAAAACCAGCUCCUGGAUUCAUUGAUUUUUUUGAAGGGUUUUUCAUGUCUCUAUCUCUUUCAGUUCUGCUCUGAUCUUAGUUAUUUCUUGCCUUCUGCUAGCUUUUAAUUUGUUUGCUCUUGCUUCUCUAGUUCUUUUAAUUGUGAUGUUAGGGUGUUGAUUUUAGAUCUUUCUUGUUUUCUCUUGUGGGCAUUUAGUGCUGUAAAUUUCCCCCUACACACUGCUUUAAAUGUGUCCCAGAGAUUCUGGUACAUUGUGUCUUUUUUCUCAUUGGUUUCAAAGAACAUCUUUAUUUCUGCCUUUAUUUCGUUGUUUACCCAUUAGUCAUUCAGGAGCAGGUUGUUCAGUUUCCAUGUAGUUGUGUGGUUUUGAGUGAGUUUCUCAAUCCUGAGUUCUAAUUUGAUUGCACUGUGGUCUGAGAGACUGUUAGGAUUUCCAUUCUUUUGCAUUUGAUGAGGAGUGUUUUACUUCUAAUUAUGUAGUCCAUUUUAGAAUGAGUGCAAUGUAGUGCUGAGAAGAAUGUAUAUUCUGUUGAUUUGGGGUGGAGAGUUCUGUAGACGUCUAUUAGUUUCACUUGGUCCAAAGCUGAGUUCAAGUCCUGGAUAUUCUGCUAAUUUUCUGUCUCGUUGAUCUUAUAUUGACAGUGGGGUGUUAACUCCCCACUACUAACACUAUUAUUGUGUUGGAGUCUAAGUCUCUUUGUAGGCCUCUAAGAACUUGCUUUAUGAAUCUGGGUGCUCCUGCUUUGGGUGCAUAUAUAUUUAGGAGAGUUAGCUUUUCUUGUUUUGUUGAUCCCUUUACCAUUAUGUAAUGGCCUUCUUUGUCUCUUUUGAUCUUUGUUGGUUUAGAGUCUUUUUUUAUCAGAGACUAGGAUUGAAACCCCUGAUUUUUUUUGCUGUCCAUUUGCUUGGUAAAUAUUUCUCCAUCCCUUUGUUUUGAGCCUAUGUGUGUCUUCACAUGUGAGGCGGAUCUCCUGAAUACAGCACACCAAUGGGUCUUGACUCUUUAUCCAAUUUGCCAGUCAGUGUCUUUUAAUUGCUACAUUUAGCCCAUUUACAUUCAAGAUUAACAUUCUUAUGUGUAAAUCUGAUCUUGCCAUUAUGAUGCUAGCUGGUUACUUUGGCCAUUAGUUGAUGCAGUUUCUUCAUAGCGUCAAUGGUCUUUACAAUUUGGUAUGUUUUUGCAGUGGCUGGUACCAGUUGCUCCUUUCCGUGUUUAGUGCUUCUUUCAGGAGGUCUUGUAAGGCAGGUCUGGUGAUGACAAGAUCUCUCAGCAUUUGCUUGUCUGUAAAGGAUUUUAUUUCUCUUUCACUUAUGAAGCUUAGUUUGGCUGGAUAUGAAAUUCUGGGUUGAAAAUUCUUUUCUUUAAGAAUGUUGAAUAUUGGCCUCCACUCUCUUCUGGCUUGUAAGGUUUCUGCAGAGAGAUUUUAGUUUGAUGGGCUUCUCUUUGUGGGUAACCUGACCUUUCUCUCUGGCUGCCCUUAACAUUUUUUCCUUCAUUUCAACCUUGGGGGAUCUGACAAUUAUGUGUUUU
ensembl:lncRNA